UGAUGUACGCCGCCCUAGGCGAGGCAGACUACCCACGUUAUGGUUACUACGACUACGACUAUGGAUUUCCUCGAUCAUUCAGAGCAAUGCGCCAACGAUACAUGAUGAGAGAAUUUUACGACGAUUUAUUCGAUGACUGAAUACUAUACGUUCAGCUGUGGUCGUUGGCUCUUUUACAUGUGCCUUGCUUAUAUUUGUGUUCUCUUUUAAUCCUCGUUAAGGUCGCUAUUGGAAAUAAAUGAUUAUGUAAUUGUUCUUG